rnacentral:rRNA from 1 species
AACGAACGCUGGCGGCAUGCCUAACACAUGCAAGUCGAACGAGACCUUCGGGUCUAGUGGCGCACGGGUGCGUAACGCGUGGGAACCUGCCCUUAGGUUCGGAAUACCUCCCCGAAAGGGGUGCUAAUACCGGAUAAUGUCUUCGGACCAAAGAUUUAUCGCCUUUGGAUGGGCCCGCGUUGGUUUAGCUAGUUGGUAGGGUAAAAGCCUCCCAAGGCGACGAUCCAUCGCUGGUCUGAGAGGAUGAUCAGCCACACUGGGACUGAGACACGGCCCAGACUCCUACGGGAGGCAGCAGUGGGGAAUAUUGGACAAGGGGCGAAAGCCUGAUCCAGCAAUGCCGCGUGAGUGAUGAAGGCCUUAGGGUUGUAAAGCUCUUUUACCCGGGAUGAUAAUGACAGUACCGGGAGAAUAAGCUCCGGCUAACUCCGUG